UGGGGAAUAUUGCGCAAUGGGCGAAACCCUGACCCAGCAACGCCGCGUGAAGGAUGAAGUAUUUCGGUAUGUAAACUUCGAAAGAAUAGGAAGAAUAAAUGACGGUACUAUUUAUAAGGUCCGGCUAACUACGUGCCAGCAGCCGCGGUAAUACGUAGGGACCAAGCGUUGUUCGGAUUUACUGGGCGUAAAGGGCGCGUAGGCGGCAUGACAAGUCACUUGUGAAAUCUCUGGGCUUAACCCAGAACGGCCAAGUGAUACUGUCGCGCUAGAGUGCAGAAGGGGCAAUCGGAAUUCUUGGUGUAGCGGUGAAAUGCGUAGAUAUCAAGAGGAACACCUGAGGUGAAGACGGGUUGCUGGGCUGACACUGACGCUGAGGCGCGAAAGCCAGGGGAGCAAACGGGAUUAGAUACCCCAGUAGUCCCUGAGCGGGCUGGCA
rnacentral:rRNA from 1 species